GUGAAUCAUCGAAUCUUUGAACGCAACUUGCACCUCCUGGGCAACUGGGAGGUAUGUCUGUUUGAGUAUGGGUUGAACUAUUGUCUCUGGCUAGAGGCAGACUUGGGGUCGCAGUCUCUCUUGGGGGAGUGGGACCCUUAAAUGUAGCAUAUGGGGUGAAGGACCACCUUGCUAUGUGCUAGAGGCCAGCUCGGUCUUGUCAUAGCAAGGCGUCUCUUGGCUCGUGAAUAACAGCCUGUUCACACUUACUACUCACCGUCUCAAAUCAGGCAAGAUUACCCGCUGAACUUAAGCAUAUCAAUAAGCGGAGG
rnacentral:rRNA from 1 species